GACGAACGCUGGCGGCGUGCUUAACACAUGCAAGUCGAACGGUAAGGCCCUUCGGGGUACACGAGUGGCGAACGGGUGAGUAACACGUGGGUAAUCUGCCCUGCACAUCGGGAUAAGCCUGGGAAACUGGGUCUAAUACCGAAUAGGACCACAGGACACAUGUCCUGUGGUGGAAAGCUUUUGCGGUGUGGGAUGGGCCCGCGGCCUAUCAGCUUGUUGGUGGGGUGAUGGCCUACCAAGGCGACGACGGGUAGCCGGCCUGAGAGGGUGUCCAGCCACACUGGGACUGAGAUACGGCCCAGACUCCUACGGGAGGCAGCAGUGGGGAAUAUUGCACAAUGGGCGAAAGCCUGAUGCAGCGACGCCGCGUGGGGGAUGACGGCCUUCGGGUUGUAAACCUCUUUCACCAUCGACGAAGGUCCGGGUUUUCUCGGGCUGACGGUAGGUGGAGAAGAAGCACCGGCCAACUACGUG
rnacentral:rRNA from 1 species